rnacentral:rRNA from 1 species
AUUGAACGCUGGCGGCAGGCCUAACACAUGCAAGUCGAGCGGAGCGGCGGACGGGUGAGUAAUGCCUAAGAAUCUGCCUGGUAGUGUGGGAUAGAGUCCGGAAAGGGGCGCUAAUACCGCACACUAUCCACUGCACCUAGGUCGGAUUAGCUAGUUGGUGGGGUAAAGGCCUACCAAGGCGACGAUCCGUAACUGGUCUGAGAGGAUGAUCAGUCACACUGGAACUGAGACACGGUCCAGACUCCUACGGGAGGCAGCAGUGGGGAAUAUUGGACAAUGGGCGAAAGCCUGAUCCAGCCAUGCCGCGUGUGUGAAGAAGGUCUUCGGAUUGUAAAGCACUUUAAGUUGGGAGGCGUUACCAACAGAAUAAGCACCGGCUAACUCCGUGCCAGCAGCCGCGGUAAUUC